rnacentral:rRNA from 1 species
GAUGAACGCUGGCGGCGUGCUUAAUACAUGCAAGUCGAACGGGGAGUAGCAAUUCGCUUAGUGGCGAACGGGUGAGUAACUCGUUGGUACCUGCCCCGAAUCGGGGGAUAACCGACCGAAAGGUGCGCUAAUACCCCAUAUGCUCGGUAACGAGUAAAGUUGAAAACCACUUUGGGAGGGGCAUGCGUUGCAUCAGCUAGUUGGUAAGGUAAAGCCUGACGAAGGCGUUAACGCGUAGGGGACCGGAGAGGGUUGCCCCCCACAAUGGGACUGAGACACGACCCCUACACCUACGGGUGGCAGCGGUAGGGGAUAUAGGUGAGGAACGCAGGUCUAACCCAGCAACGCCGCGUGUGAGAUGACGGCCUUCGGGAUGUCCAGCCCUUUUGACUGGAACGAGUAAGGACGGUACCUGUAUAAUAAGCCUCGGCUAACUACGUG